ACAAAAACAUCUUUUCUUGUUAGUUUUUGAAGUAUGGCCUGCCCACUGACUUGGAGUUGAAGGGCCGCGGUAUUUUGACCGUGCAAAGGUAGCAUAAUCAUUAGUUCUUUAAUUGUGAUCUGGUAUGAAUGGCUUGACGAGACAUGGGCUGUCUUGAUAGGAUUGUUUGUUGAAUUUAGUUUUUGAGUUAAAAUUCUUAGAUGUUUUUAUGGGACGAGAAGACCCUAUAGAGUUUAACAUUUUGCUUAUUAGUUUGAGGUUUGGUUUGUUGUAAUGUUUUAAUAGGUUAAUUGUUUUGUUGGGGUGAUGGGAGGAAUUUUUGAAACUCCUCUUUAUUUAGUAUAUUUAUCUAUAUUUUUUUGAUCCAUUAAUUUUGAUUAUAAGAUUAAAUUACCUUAGGGAUAACAGCGUUAUCUUCCUUGAGAGUUCUUAUUGGCGGGAAGGUUUGCGACCUCGAUGUUGGAUUAAGAUGAAUUUUCGGUGCAGGAGCUGAAAUGAUUAG
rnacentral:rRNA from 1 species